AUUUUUGUAGUUAAAUUAUAACGAUGGUUUUUCGAGUCAUAGGUCUUGGUUAAAAUCCAGGUAAAAAUU
rnacentral:tRNA from 1 species